ACAGAUUUCAAAAGAUUUUCAUUGCUGGAUUUAGAAAUUUAGAGUGUAUGUUUCGAAUCUGGUGUCUUUUAGACUAUGAACCAGACCUAGAUUAAUAAGACUUAACAUACAGAGUAAUUGGUGAAACUUUUGUUUCUAUGAACCAAAACUCUUUUUUGUAUGUUAAUUUCUCAUCAAUCUCAUAACACUCCAUAGAUCUUGUUGUCAACGCCGUUUUGCGCUAAUAGGCCAUGCGCGCGCUUGGUAGUUCAUAAGUGCUCUAGAGAUUAUGCCACAAUCUCAUAGAAGCGGC
rnacentral:lncRNA from 1 species